UACAGAGGGUGCAAGCGUUGCUCGGAAUCAUUGGGCGUAAAGGGUAGGUAGGUGGUCUCGUUUGUCUGCCGUGAAAGUCCAGGGCUCAACCCUGGAAAGCGGGUGGAUACUGCCGGGCUAGAAUCCGGAAGAGGCGAGUGGAAUUCCUGGUGUAGCGGUGGAAUGCGCAGAUAUCAGGAGGAACACCAAUAGCGAAGGCAGCUCGCUGGGACGGUAUUGACGCUGAGGCGCGAAAGCGUGGGGAGCAAACAGG
rnacentral:rRNA from 1 species